UGUCCUGUGGGCGCGCACGUACCCGCACCCCAGGCAACGGGCCUCCCGAGAAGGCGCCCGGAGGGGAAGGCGAAGGCGAAGGGUCGCCCUGCAGUGAUGCACGGCGGGCGUCGGUGUCCUUUUCCGAGAGCGAGAGCGACAGGAAUCCGUAUCAGGAAGGGAGACACGUGACGAAGGUGCAUCGCGCAGAAGACAGCAGAGUGACGGCGUCUCAGGCCACAGGGCCAGGAGCUCACGCCCACGGGGGCAGGUGGGGAAGGGGUGCUGGAUGCCGACACAGGUCUGGCCUCCCGGCCUCCCCGAUGCCGUGCCCUCGCCUGGGACGCUUUUCCUCCACAUCUUCUCGGGGACCCUCUCCAUCCUCUGAUCUACCUCGUCCGGGACGCGGCGGGACGCGGCACCGCGUACGGGCUGGACUCUGAGACCGCAGCGCAGGCCGACCCUGUGGAUGCAGAAGGGGACAGAGGCUCCAGACGCCACCAGGGAGCCGCCUGGCUUCCCUGACGACAUCCACCCAUCAAGGGGAAUGUUUUUCUACUCCGUUGAGCACACUGGGCCCACGGGACCCUGGGGGAACGUUCUGUGCACGAGCAGGGCCUCUGUGCAGCAGCCUGGCGUAACCCCUCCGUGGGUGCCGUGUCCCCUUCAGCUCGAGCUGGAGCCCCAGCAAAGCUCGGCCUGCGCCUCGUUUCUGUUGUCAUUGGUCCGAGAACCUGACUCCGGUAACAGUCAGAUGCUGGAUGCAUCUAGAGCGCUGUGGGGCAAGCUUCCCGGUGACUUCGGUGUGGGGCAGGUCCUGUUGUCUGAACCCCUUGCGGUGAGUUAAGUGGUGGCCAAAAAGAGGAAGACACGUCCCGUCCCUCCUCCCCGGAAACUGAAUGUGAAGUUGUGUGGAGAAGGGGUCUUUGUUGGUGUAAUGACGUUAAGGGUGUGGAGGUGCGAUUGUGCUGGGUUGUCUGGGUGGACCCUGAAUCCAGUGAAGGUGUCCUUACACGAGACACCAGGGGAGGCACACGGCAGAGAGAAGAGAAAGCCACGUGGGGACAGAGACCGGAGUCAUGAGCCGAGGGUCGCAUGCGGCCCCCAGAAGCUGCAAGAGGUGGGCAGGACCCUCCCCUAGAGCCCCUGGAGGGACCGCAGCCCCGCCAGCCUUGAUGUGGGACUUCUGGCCUCCAGGAUGGGGAGAGAAUAACCGUCUGCGGGUUGAAGGCCCAGGUUUACGGUACUUUGUUGUGACAGCCCCAGGACGCCAAUGCGCCCCUCCUUUUAACCCCGAGGAAACUGAGCCCCCAAGGGGCUGCUUGCCUGCCCAGGUCCGCCCGCAGUCGGUGGAGAAAAACCCAGUCACUCUCACACCACUGCUCUGCCGGGGCUUGGCUACGACGGGCAGGGUGUGACCCUCGCCUGGGACAUUUCAACUGUGUAGUUGCGGAUGUCUGUUCCAGCCUGCCAGGAUCUUUGGGGAUCAAGUUCCGUUUUGCAGCUACUACUGUAUUCGGGGCCAUAGGCACCCCAUUAAAGGACUGUAUCUCCCACCCUCCCUUCCAGGUGACUGUGUCCAGGAGGCUCAGUUCCGCCACUGAUACGAAAGAGAAGUGAGUGUCAGACAAGGGGGAGUGUGUCAAGCACAGGUUCAGAGCAAUCGCUUCAGGCAUUAAAAGCAGAAAGGGAGUUAAUAUAGGCAAUAGAAUUUAAAACUCCCUGAGGGUCACAGGGGUGAACGUCAGGGCCCAACUUGCACCGUUGAUUUAGAUGUCCCGCCAGAAGCCAAGACCGAGGCCAGGAACCCAUUGUUGCUAACGCCGCCACCUUGGCCAAGUUCGCCUUUCACCCGCUAAGCUGGCAUGCAGACACUGAGAGGCAGACUCUGGUCCCCAGGACGUGCACGCUUGCUAACCUUGCCUGCAGCGGUCACAGCCGCUCACUUCUGUCUUCCACGUCUCACCCGAGUCCUUGCAAGUAGGACUUAACCUGGAUUCCAGCCGGAAGGGCACGUGCAAGGGAACCUGGGGGUGUAGUUUUCCAGGGCAUGGUGGUGAGGCUAUGAUCGCUGCAGGUUGGUCUUGCUACCAAGUGGAGGUGGGGUAACUCACAAAGGAAGGGAAAGAGAAGGGCACAAAUCUACGCGGGAAGCGUCUGCCCAGGGCAGGGCGUGAAUAUAAUCGCCACGGGUGGUGAAGAGUCAGCCCUGUCGGCAUCAGUACGGGUGGGCAGUGAAUGCCACUUUCAGGAUCCUGGGACUCAGCUUGUUGGACCUGAGGACAGGCACCCCCCCCCCUCCUUGCUGCCAGUCAGAAGGAAGGACGUCAGGAGCACUGGGGUAGAGUUCCACAGACCCAGAUGCAUGAGCCAGGCAAGGGGUGUCAGAUUCCUCUGUUGCUUCCUUUACUCUUGUCACCGCUCCCUGCCUCCGAGUUUAGUGUGGUUUCGGAAGAUACCUGUUCCCCUUCUCUUAAAUUUCUCCAUAUUUUCAUAAAUUCUGUCCAUAUUUUCCUCGAUUUUACUUAAUAUAGUUAUACUAAAGUC